UACAGCUUCACUGUCCAACCACAUUCACAGUGUGGAUUGGAGCCACAUUCUUUUAAGUGUAAAAAAAGCGC
rnacentral:lncRNA from 1 species